GAGCGUACACGUUGGGACCCGAAAGAUGGUGAACUAUGCCUGGCCAGGACGAAGUCAGGGGAAACCCUGAUGGAGGUCCGUAGCA
rnacentral:rRNA from 1 species